rnacentral:rRNA from 1 species
AUUGAACGCUGGCGGCAGGCCUAACACAUGCAAGUCGAGCGGAGCGGCGGACGGGUGAGUAAUGCCUAGGAAUCUGCCCGGUAGUGGGGGAUAACUUCCGGAAACGGGCGCUAAUACAGCAUACUAUCAGAUGAGCCUAGGUCGGAUUUGCUAGUUGGUGGGGUAACGGCCUACCAAGGCGACGAUCCGUAACUGGUCUGAGAGGAUGAUCAGUAACACGGGAACUGAGACACGGUCCAGACUCCUACGGGAGGCAGCAGUGGGGAAUAUUGGACAAUGGGCGAAAGCCUGAUCCAGCCAUGCCGCGUGUGUGAAGAAGGUCUUCGGAUUGUAAAGCACUUUAGGUAGGGAAGCGGUACCAACAGAAUAAGCACCGGCUAACUACGUGCCAGCAGCCGCGGUAAUUC